rnacentral:snoRNA from 1 species
GGCCUCUUGAUGCUUACCACAAGCUGUGUUCUUAACAAUGACUGUAUAGAAAAAGGAGGCAGAGUAAGCCUACCCCAUGUAUACCACAGCCCAGGCCCUGUGCCUGGUCUGUGUAGUGAAUGGGAAGACUGGG